GGUGUUGCUCAAUGGUUGAGUGCUUGCCUAGCAUGCAGGAGGCUCUGAGUUCAAUCCCCAGUACC
rnacentral:tRNA from 1 species